rnacentral:rRNA from 1 species
UACGUAGGGGCAAGGCGUUGUCCGGAAUCAUUGGGCGUAAAGCGCGUGUAGGCGGUCCGGUAAGUCCGCUGUGAAAGUCGGGGGCUUAACCCUCGGAUGCCGGUGGAUACUGUCGGGCUUGAGUACGGAAGAGGCGAGUGGAAUUCCUGGUGUAGCGGUGAAAUGCGCAGAUAUCAGGAGGAACACCAAUUGCGAAGGCAGCUCGCUGGGACGUUACUGACGCUGAGACGCGAAAGCGUGGGGAGCAAACAGG